UCCCAGGCGGGAUACUUAACGCGUUAGCUUUGAUACUGCACAGGUCGAUCUGUUCAACAUCUAGUAUCCAUAGUUUACGGCUAGGACUACUGGGGUAUCUAAUCCCAUUUGCUACCCUAGCUUUCGUCUCUGAGUGUUAGUAAUAGCCCAGUAAAGUGCUUUCGCCAUCGGUGUUCUUUCCAAUAUCUACGCAUUUCACCGCUCCACUGGAAAUUCCCUUUACCUCUACUAUACUCUAGUCUAAUAGUUUCGACUGCGACUUUGAAGUUGAGCCUCAAGAUUUAACAGUUGACUUAUUAAACCACCUACAGACGCUUUACGCCCAGUGAUUCCGGAUAACACUUGCAUCCUCCGUCUUACCGCGGCUGCUGGCACGGAGUUAGCCGAUGCUUAUUCUUCAGGUACACGUCAUUUAUUCCUCCCUGAAAAAAGAGGUUUACAACCCAUAGGCAGUCUUCCCUCACGCUGUAUUGCUCCGUCAGGCUUUCGCCCAUUGCGGAAAAUUCCCCACUGCUGCCUCCCGUAGGAGUCUGGACCGUGUCUCAGUUCCAGUGUGUCUGGUCGUCCUCUCAAACCAGAUACUGAUCGUCGCCUUGGUAAGCUCUUACCUUACCAACAAGCUAAUCAGCCGCGAGCUUCUCUCUAGGCGGAUAAAUAUAAAUCCAUUUCACUCGAAAGCAUAUGGGGUAUUAGCAUUCGUUUCCAAUUGUUGUCCCCCUCCUAAAGGCAAAUUCUCACGUGUUACUCACCCGUCCGCCACUAAAGUUAAAAACUUUCGUACGACUUGCAUGUGUUAGGCAUACAGCCAGCGUUCAUCCUGAGCCAGGAUCAAACUCU
rnacentral:rRNA from 1 species